rnacentral:rRNA from 1 species
CCUGCUCAAUGACCAUUUAAAUAGCCGCUUUAUUGUGCUAAGGUAGCAUAAUAAUUUGUUUUUUAAUUUAAAAAUAGAAUGAAAGGAUAAACGUAUUUAUCUAUCUUAUAAAUAUAAAUUAAAUUUAUAAUAAAUAUAAAAAUAUAUUUAUAAAAAAGGAAGACGACAAGACCCUAAGAACUUUUUCUUAUUUAACUGGGGAAGUUUUAUAAUUAAAAUUUAUUAAAUUAUAUUAAUUUAAGCUUUUUAGAAUACAAAUCAAGUUACCUUAGGGAUAACAGCAUAAUUUAUAUUUUAAGUUCUUAUAACAAUAUAUAAAUAUGACCUCGAUGUUGAAUUAAUAUUAUCUUUUAUAAGUACAAAUAUAAAAAGUAAGUCUGUUCGACUUUUAAAAUAUUACAU